UUAAAUUGAAGAGUUUGAUCAUGGCUCAGAUUGAACGCUGGCGGCAGGCCUAACACAUGCAAGUCGAACGGUAACAGGAAGAAGCUUGCUUCUUUGCUGACGAGUGGCGGACGGGUGAGUAAUGUCUGGGAAACUACCUGAUGGAGGGGGAUAACUACUGGAAACGGUAGCUAAUACCGCAUAACGUCGCAAGACCACAGAGGGGGACCUUCGGGCCCCUUGCCAUCGGAGGUGCCCAGGUGGGAUUAGCUAGUAGGUGG
rnacentral:rRNA from 1 species